GAUGAACGCUGGCGGCGUGCCUAAUACAUGCAAGUCGAACGAAGCUUCUUUAUCACCGAGUGCUUGCACUCACCGAUAAAGAGUUGAGUGGCGAACGGGUGAGUAACACGUGGGCAACCUGCCCAAAAGAGGGGGAUAACACUUGGAAACAGGUGCUAAUACCGCAUAACCAUAGUUACCGCAUGGUAACUAUGUAAAAGGUGGCUAUACUACCGCUUUUGGAUGGGCCCGCGGCGCAUUAGCUAGUUGGUAGGGUAAAGGCUUACCAAGGCAAUGAUGCGUAGCCGAAUUGAGAGGUUGAUCGGCCACAUUGGGACUGAGACACGGCCCAAACUCCUACGGGAGGCAGCAGUAGGGAAUCUUCCACAAUGGGCGAAAGCCUGAUGGAGCAACGCCGCGUGGGUGAAGAAGGUCUUCGGAUCGUAAAACCCUGUUGUUAGAGAAGAAAGUGCGUGAGAGUAACUGUUCACGUUUCGACGGUAUCUAACCAGAAAGCCACUGCUAACUACGUG
rnacentral:rRNA from 1 species